CCGAGUGAGGGCCCUCUGGGUCCAACCUCCCACCCAUGUAUAUCGUACCUUGUUGCUUUGGCGGGCCCGCCUCACGGCCGCUGGGGGGCAUCUGCCCCCGGGCCCGCGCCCGCCGAAGACACCCACGAACUCUGUCUGAAGAUUGCAGUCUGAGUGAAAUGAUAAAUUAUUUA
rnacentral:misc_RNA from 1 species